rnacentral:rRNA from 1 species
UACGUAGGGGGCUAGCGUUGUCCGGAUUUAUUGGGCGUAAAGAGCGUGUAGGCGGCUUUGCAAGUCCGUUGUGAAAACUCGAGGCUCAACCUCGAGACGCCGGUGGAAACUGCAAAGCUAGAGUCCGGAAGAGGAGAGUGGAAUUCCUGGUGUAGCGGUGAAAUGCGCAGAUAUCAGGAGGAACACCAAUUGCGAAGGCAGCUCGCUGGGACGUUACUGACGCUGAGACGCGAAAGCGUGGGGAGCAAACAGG